AUUUCAACAACAGCUGAACGUGCCUAUGUUAGUUCGCAGCCUACCUUGGUCCGGGUGAAUGAAACAGGGAUGGGGGACAAAAUAAACAUGCAGUUUGCUAUGUAAACAUCCCACAACUCCUUUGAUAUUUUACAAUAAUAUCCAAAUGGUCGUUACUUGACAUCAGAAGCAAUCGCUACCUGCCUAUGCGAGGAGUCGGCAGCAGGCCUAUGCAUUCAUAUCAGACGAGCGGAGUUCAGAAAAUGUAGCUGCUGUUGGACUUACAUUUCUGACAUGCUGCCAAUUCGCGGGGUAGACAUGGAAAUAUGUAAAAUGCGAUACAUUCGCGCAAAUAAUGAUGUGCUGUUAACAUUCACAAAACAGCGAUUUUUUGAAAACUUCCUCGUGAAGAACAGGACCUUCAAUAUAUGGUCACAAGAUUGAAUGCAACAUAAAACAAUUACCAUUUUAAUUUUAUAAUCCUUAUUAAUGCCAACACUUCAUGUCAAUGAAUCUCUCGGUGUGGUAUUUUUCCGGUGUGAGCGGUGUAUGUUGGGUAUUUCUCUUACCCCUCGGUUUCAAGUAAGCUCCCGAUCUUACUUGGUUUUAAGGGGUAUCUACCCUUGCCCUUAUCCCUACCCCUCGAUCGAAAUGAGAAUUGAGAUAGCCCUUCGUCUCACGUGCACGCGCAAAACUAAGGGGAAGGGGAAGGGGUAAAAUAGAGAAUUGAGAUGGGCCCUAAGCCCAGCCCCGAUCUGCAAGCUGCAGCCAGGCCUACUUGCUUUUUUGUAGGUGAGAUGGAGCAGCAUCAGACUCUGAGUAGAAUUGAAUAGGCUUAUGACGACGUCAGACUAGCAAUGCAGUAGAGAGGAGACAGAUUCAGCAGUUAUACCUUCUGUGUUAACAACAACUGCUACUCAACUAGGUCGAGUCCUAUUUGGACUUAAUCAACUAUCCGUAGACAAGUUUUAAAACUAUACUUCACACAAAACGUUCAAACAAAUCCACUGUAGCCUGCGUGUACCAUAGGAAAACAUUUAGGCCUACAUCUUCCGAUUUUUACCAUGGGAUUAAGGGAAAUAGAAAGUGAAACGAUGGUCUGCCAUGAUUGAUGUUUUCAUAAACCAAUUGGAUUUUAGAGUAGGCCUAGCAGACAAACACGUGAGCAGCGUCUUCCGACUUUAUCCCACGCCCCCAAAAUGUCGUCGUUAUACAAUGCGCAUACACUUUCGUUUUUUUGCGUGUUAGGCUAAGUUUUGCUUUCUUUUCGGCGUAAUGGACGUUCAUUGGCACUAAAUGGUAAGAAAAGACCCUGUGUACAGUGGACCUAACUGACAGUGAACUAGACUUGGCAACUGAUUGAUACUUCGACCAUUUAGGUGGAGGUUGCAUCAACAUGGAAGUAACCGUAGCGCUGACGUAGCGCGCUAGUUUGGCUACAGUGUUUACAUUUUUUUCGAACAUUAUGUUUAAUAUCUUUAUAUAAGCACACCAGUCUCUCAAAGACAGAAAUUAGCAAAUACAUCCAAAGAACGAUAUACUUGUAUAAAAACAAGAACAUGUACAAUUCCACAUUUCAGUCUCGUCUGUCUGGUUUUUCUAGAUAGGCAGCAUAAAUUGGCUAUAAAACGUGUUUCGCAGUCGAUUACACGCACGUUGAUUUAUAUGCUAUCGUUUCGUAGUUAGGCCUAUUGUUAGACACUGGGCCGAGUUUACCAAAGGAAAUGGUUGAUGUUUUGAAAAUAUAAUUCUACACCGAACAUGGAAUUCGAUGUAGUCUUCCAAGUGGACUUUGCUGUGUCUCGCAUGUUCUAGAAACAAUGGCCCGAUGUCCUGUAAAGCAGUAAAGUCCCUAUAGCCACAGCGACACGUUCCAUCAUCUACGUUGGAAGUCCAAUAUACCAAGCCAACAUGCCGGUGGAUAGGAUGCGAAUGCGCCCCUGGCUUGAAGAACAGAUCAACAGCGGUUCAGUAAAGGGGCUCAUGUGGAUUAAUAAGCAAAAGAAGAUUUUCCAAAUUCCAUGGAUGCAUGCUGCACGCCACGGAUGGGAUCUUGAUAAAGAUGCACCCUUGUUUAUGAACUGGGCAAUCCACACAGGGAAAUACCAUCCAGGAGUUGACCAGCCUGAUCCAAAGACAUGGAAGGCUAACUUCCGUUGUGCAAUGAAUUCUCUUCCUGACAUUGAAGAAGUGAAGGACAAGAGUAUUAAGAAAGGCAACAAUGCAUUCAAAGUUUACAGGAUGUUAUCGGCUGCUGAGCGGGCUGUGAUUAAAGAAAAAAAGAAGAUGGAGAAGAGACAAAAUAAAGCAAAAAAGCAUAACUCUGGUGACGAUGGCAGCUCUAAGGGAUCUGACGAACCAGUUGCUGAGGAGGAAGACCAGGUGGAGCAUGAGGCUGAUAGCACAGUUACCAUAGACAAUGUGGAUUCUGCUGAGGACCAGUUGGUGAUAAGUGAAAUGUCUGAUGUGUGUGCUGUGGUGGAGGUGACCACUGAGCAUGAGGGAGUUUUGGACAGCCAGGUGUCUACUGAGAGAGAGGUGCCACCAGUCACCUCAAGCUCUGUUUACCCUCGUUUGCAAGUCUCUCCAAUUUCAUCUUGUGGAGAGAGUGAUGCUGAAAGUGAAUACAGCGAUGAAGAUUCCAAGGAGGAAUGGGACAUGCGGUGCCUCUCAGAAGCCCAGAUGACCUGCUCUGUCCUGAAAUUCCCGUCCUGUAAACCCCCCAGCAAGUCUACCUUUUUCAACUCAGAGAAAACCAACUUUAAGGUGACCAGUUGCCAGGAGGAGUCCCCCAUGAUUGCCUACAACGUUCGUCCCUGGUGGAAACCUCACCUUACAACUAGGCCUAUGCCCACUAGAGUGUACCCUGGCCCAAGAGCCAACCCUCGAUAUAGCUCCCAUAUGCGUCCCCAGACCAGUCCUUUUCAGCGUCCUGAAAACAUUCCAAAUGCGACUUCUGAAAUUGAUCUCCCUCUGCGUUCCCACAGAAGUACCCUGCUGCCUACCCAAACCAGUAUCAAUAUUUGUGCCCAAACUAUUUCUCACAUGUUUCCUCAGAGGAGUCCACAUGUGCCUGUCCAAACCAGUCCACGCUUGCGGCCACAAACUAGUUCCCCUGUGUGCCCUCAAACACAUCCCUCUGUGGCAAUUCAAACCAGUCCCCAAAUCCCCUCACCAGUCGUUCCCCAAGCUGGUCUUCAUAUGCUUUACCCAAGCAGCCCUCACAUAGUCCAACAGAGUGGCUCUCAUUUGCUCCCUGAAACAAGUCGCCAACGGCCUUUUCAUAGCAGUCUUCUCGUCUCUCCCGAUGUUCGUCCCAGUGUCCAUCCGCAGACCAGUUCCCAAAUUUACCCCCAUAGUAGUCCUCCCCGUCUUGAUCUCCAAAAAAGCUCCUACAGGCGUCUCCAGAUCAGGCCUGAUGUCAGUCCCCACACAAGUCCCGAUGUCAUGCCCCAUAGCAGCACCCAUACUGGUGUCCAAAUCCCCAUUAUUAAAAAGUCACAGACCUUUCCCUUCACUCCUGCGUCUACGAGACAAUCCUCUCUACCUGAAAGGACCUGUAGCACUGAUGGCCGUGCAAGCGUAAUUGUCAAUACUGUCGUGCAAUCGCAACUAUGACGCCUCAGUAAAGACCAUCUUAUUAUGACCUGACGUAGAUGCUUUGCUGCUUCGGAAAAUCAGUGUGACCAUAGCUACCUUGGACAUCGCCUCCUGUCUUCAUGAACAAAGAGCACCAAAGACUUCACAGCAAUAUUGGUCUUGUUUGGAGAAUGCCUUGAUGACUACUUUUUUCUAAGACAAAAAGUGUAUUUUAUUUUUAUAUAGAGAAUAGGGUAUCAAUGAGUUUUUUUUUUUUUUCUUUCAAAUCGGUUUACAUGCACACUAAUUUAGUAACAUUGAUGAUGUCACACGAGGACACUAUCUGAGCUGUGUUUAUUUAUUUCACUGUUUGAGUUCAUAUUUUCAAUAUUUGGGUGUAAUGGGUCUUUGCGCCACCAGAGGGCAUCCAAAGUCUAUCAUCUCUGCAUAAUGUUCAACCAAUGGGGGUGUCCAAUGUGAUCUCUUUUUUUUUUUUGAAGAGGGAGGGUAGUAAGAGUUGUUUUCUGUAUAUGACAGAAGGGUCGAAAAGUAAGACAUUGUGCUAGACUACUGCGACCUGCAGUUGGAGGAAGGAAGAGGUGAUGGUAACUGAAGAUAUGCCAGCAUAUGCCAGAUGAUUUCUUGGGAAGAGUGGACAUAAGCUAACGAC